GAUGAACGCUGGCGGCGUGCCUAAUACAUGCAAGUCGAGCGAACAGACGAGGAGCUUGCUCCUCUGACGUUAGCGGCGGACGGGUGAGUAACACGUGGAUAACCUACCUAUAAGACUGGGAUAACUUCGGGAAACCGGAGCUAAUACCGGAUAAUAUAUUGAACCGCAUGGUUCAAUAGUGAAAGACGGUUUUGCUGUCACUUAUAGAUUGAUCCGCGCCCCAUUAGCUAGUUGGUAAGGUAACGGCUUACCAAGGCGACGAUGCGUAGCCGACCGGAGAGGGUGAUCGGCCACCCGGGAACUGAGACACGGUCCAGACUCCUAAGGGAGGCAGCAGUAGGGAAUCUUGAGCAAUGGGCGAAGGCCGGACGGAGCAACGCCGCGUGAGGGGUGAGGGACGUCGGAUCGUAGAUCGCUGUUAUUUGGGAAGAACAAAUGUGUAAGUACCUAGGCAUGUCGUGACGGUACCGAAUCAGAAAGCCACGGCUAACUACGUG
rnacentral:rRNA from 1 species